rnacentral:rRNA from 1 species
UACGUAGGUGGCGAGCGUUGUCCGGAUUUACUGGGCGUAAAGGGCUUGUAGGCGGUCCGUUAAGUCCGAUGUGAAAUCUCCCGGCUCAACUGGGAGAGGUCAUUGGAUACUGGCGGACUAGAGGGGGGUAGAGGAAAGCAGAAUUCCUGGUGUAGCGGUGAAAUGCGUAGAUAUCAGGAGGAAUACCAGUGGCGAAGGCGGCUUUCUGGGCCUACCCUGACGCUGAGGAGCGAAAGCGUGGGGAGCGAACGGG